CUGCCAUCCCCCCGCCACGAGCGCUUAGCACGCAACGCUGGUGUCUGUGACAUCACGACAUCGUGGUAGAUCUCUGGCUUUGAUGGUCUGGCCGGGGAGGGUAAUAACCUGUACCCCCUCUGUUAGAGAUCAAAGGAGGUGGUGGUCUGGCCCGGGAGGGUAAUAAUCUGUACCCCCUCUGUUAGAGAUCAAAGGAGGUGGUGGUCUGGCCCGGGAGGGUAAUAACCUGUACCCCCUCUGUUAGAGAUCAAAGGAGAUGGUGGUCUGGGAGGGUAAUAACCUGUAACCCCUCUGUUAGAGAUCAAAGGAGGUGGUGGUCUGGGAGUGUAAUAACCUGGACCCCCUCUGUUAGAGAUCAAAGGAGGUGGUGGUCUGGGAGGGUAAUAACCUGUACCCCCUCUGUUAGAGAUCAAAGGAGGUGGUGGUCUGGGAGGGUAUUAACCUGUACCCCCUCUGUUAGAGAUCAAAGGAGGUGGUGGUCUGGGAGGGUAAUAACCUGUACCCCCUCUGUUAGAGAUCAAAGGAGGUGGUGGUCUGGGAGGGUAUUAACCUGUACCUCCUCCGUUAGAGAUCAAAGGGGCCGGUAGUGGCAGUUAGCUGAUCUCUGGAACACACACACACAAUGUCUGCAAUUAGCAGCAACACUCCUCUGUGUCAGAAGCAGGUCUGGUGUAUCUGGGGGAAGCAGGAAGCAGCAGAAGGUGAAUAAUUGUGUACAUGGAUAAUGUCUCUCCUGAUGAGAGGAUGAUUUCUGCACCUGCAUCAUUUACAUACACACCUCCAACUCUCUCCCCACACCUCAA
ensembl:lncRNA